rnacentral:lncRNA from 1 species
AAGUAUGCUGGGAAGGUCAAACCAUCGACAUGAACUAGAACAUCUUGUACAAUACCUAGUGUACGAGUUAUAGAUGAAUCAGACAAAAUGAGUGUCAUGUUGCUCGAUAUGAUCUCUCCUAUCUCCAAUUCCUUAAGUUUGCUCAACGACAUGACAUUAAUGCUCGAUCCUAAGUAACAUAAAGCAUGUGGUAUUUUCAUCCCCUCGAUGAUGCAUGUGAUAUUGAGCUCCCCUGGAUCCUUCAUCUUUGGUGGAACUUUUGAGGAUUCUACCUUCUC